CCUACGGGUGGCUGCAGUGGGGAAUAUUGGACAAUGGGGGCAACCCUGAUCCAGCCAUGCCGCGUGUGUGAAGAAGGCCCUCGGGUUGUAAAGCACUUUCAGUGAGGAAGAACGCCUGUUGGUUAAUACCCAUCAGGAAAGACAUCACUCACAGAAGAAGCACCGGCUAACUCCGUGCCAGCAGCCGCGGUAAUACGGAGGGUGCGAGCGUUAAUCGGAAUUACUGGGCGUAAAGCGCGCGUAGGUGGCUUGAUAAGCCGGUUGUGAAAGCCCCGGGCUCAACCUGGGAACGGCAUCCGGAACUGUCAAGCUAGAGUGCAGGAGAGGAAGGUAGAAUUCCCGGUGUAGCGGUGAAAUGCGUAGAGAUCGGGAGGAAUACCAGUGGCGAAGGCGGCCUUCUGGACUGACACUGACACUGAGGUGCGAAAGCGUGGGUAGCAAACAGGAUUAGAUACCCCAGUAGUC
rnacentral:rRNA from 1 species